rnacentral:lncRNA from 1 species
AAGAGGAAAAUUACUGGAAACAAGAAGGCAUAAUGACUUAGGGGAAAACCUUCGAAGCUGUGACUGUCCGUUUCCUGUCUUGUGCAAACCCUAACUGACCAAAUGAUGAUGAUGAUGAUGAUUUUUUUUUUUUGGAGGGUGGCAGCAACGGAAAGCCUCCAGCCUCCACAUUUGCCAAGCUAACUUGCAGCAAGAGCUGUCUAAUUUAGGGGGUGGGGACUAGGGUGCUUCCUUAAACAGCCAGGAGAGCGCGAGAGAUUGGGCACAGGAGGGUGCGUUUCCCCCUGUCAUCCGUGGCCGCGGCGUCAGGGCAUCCGAAAGGCAGCCGCUCGCAUUCUGGAUGUGUCAUUAACACGUGGGGCUGCGCCGGGCGAACUUUCGAAGGAUAUUUGUCUCCAACUUGGACGGAAACUCCGCGGAAUCGGAAAUGUUUCUGAAUGGUGCAAGGAUCCAGUCGCCUCUUUCUGGUUUGGGCCCCACUCCCGUGAAGUUCCCCUGGAGACUAUAUAGGACCUUCACUGCUCAACCGGCCUAGGAAGGCUCUUUCCACAAGGCAGUGCUUCCCUGUGGCUGCUUCGAGUGUACCUGAAGUUCAGUUCCAGCAUUGAAGACACAAGCGACAGCGUGUUUGAAAUGAGUUGAUACAUUUAAUAACGUUAAUUCUGGACCUUCCAGGUCAGAGCUUGGCCACAAUGCCAAGUUUGGGCAGCAGCUCCCCACUCUCUACCCAUCUCUGGACAGAGGAGCUCAGUCGAAUGUGAAUUCAGUUGAGUUCCAUGAGGAGGCAGUUAAUCACUUAGCCAUGAUUUCAUGAUGCAGGGUCAAUCAAGUCCAGAAUCUUGUCUCUGUACCAUACUGUUCAGAGGAAGGUGGAAG